UGCACGAUGAAGGCCCUCGGGUUGUAAAGNNCUGUUGCAAGGGAAGAACACUUAGUUGAGGAAAUGCAACUAAGCUGACGGUACCUUGUUAGAAAGCGAUGGCUAACUAUGUGCCAGCAGNNGCGGUAAUACANAGGUCGCAAGCGUUAUCCGGAAUUAUUGGGCGUAAAGCGUUCGUAGGCUGUUUAUUAAGUCUGGAGUCAAAUCCCAGGGCUCAACCCUGGCUCGCUUUGGA
rnacentral:rRNA from 1 species